rnacentral:rRNA from 1 species
UUCCGUGGCAAUGGCGGAGGGGCUACACCUGUUCCCAUACCGAACACAGCAGUAAAGUCCUCCAGCGCCGAUGGUACUUGGGUGGCGACGCCCUGGGAGAGUAGGUCGUUGCGGAUU